CUGAGAGAGAGAGUGCACAGAUGCUCAAGUAUUUCUCUACUUUCCGUUUCUGACUACCUGUUCUGGCACCAGUUCCAAGAAAGGGGGAGGACAGAGGCAGGCAUCCAGCUGCUUUCAGUAAGCCCUGGCAGCACAGCGCUCAGUGAGUGCCUGCUCCUUCUGUCACAAUGUCUAUGAAAUGAAGAAACAUCUGUCUGUCAACAGUGGAAACAAGCAGAUGAUCAAGGUUUUCUGUAAAAAGAUGAAAAAUUCUCUGGGAAAGAGCAGCUCUAUAAAAGUGGUAAUUCUUAUCAGACAAUCAAAAAGACAUUCUUCCAUAAGUCAUCUGAAUGAUGUUUGCUUAAGGAUUCACAGCAGGCUACUUGAACAGUUCCACAAUCCCUUUAUGAAGCGUUUCACUGGGAUAUAUUCAUUUAAAGAACAAAUCAAAUAUUCCAACCUGAUGGUGUAAAAAACAUAACCAGGGAGUUGUGCAGAAGGUGUGGUUGAUUAAAAAGGAACCAAAUGUGUAGUAUGUCGAGUAUCUGGAAGUGGGAAAUAAGGAUAAAUGUAGAAUUAUCAUUAUUCUGUCAAAACAUACUGAAGUUUACACAUAGGAUUGAUCUGGCUGGAGCUUAUUACAGACAUGAGGAGUAGGGGACAAUAAUUUAUUGAUCCAAAAAAUGUAACUAUGGAUUAGAGUCUGUUUUCUUCUUUUUGCAUUGAAAAAAUGCAUUUGAAGCUGUUUGUUAUGUUUGCAAUGAAAAGUUAGCUAUGUUUCUGUGAGGUAUGUUUAGAUUCAUUUUCAGAAGAAAUAAUUUAUUCAACAAAUUUCAACUCUUCUGUUAUACACAAAUUUUAUGGGACCAGAAUGACCUCACAAUAGAUUUAUUAAUCAAAAUUAUUAUUACCACCUUAUUGUGGUGGUGUACUCCUCCUGCCCUGCUCCAACCUGACCUUUCACCCAUACCCUUGCUUGGGGAAUAACCAUCGGUGGCAGCCGUGAUAAAUGCAUAUGGUUGUUAUAGCAGAACUGGACUCAAGGUGGAUUUGGGGAAGAUAGAUCCAAGGGCUAAUGGUGCAUGCACCAAACAAAUAUGGCUGAUAUACAAAUAUGAUGUGAUACUAUUCAAUCAUCUUAGCCCAUAAAUAGAGGACAGCCCAGAGCCCACUGAGCUCUCCUGUACUGCAGCGGGCUUCAUGACAGGAUCUUACCCUUGAGCACGGACCCCUCUCAAGGUUACUUCUUGAGAUCAAGAGAUUCCUUACCUGAGGCAGAUACUUGGUAAGUGACCAAUAACUAGCUUGCUGAAACUUUGCAAGUAAUUUGCUAAGCAUGCUGAAACUUUGUAAUCUUUGCUAAGUGAUAAGAUAAGGAUUGAUUUGAUAUAAUCCUUUAGGCAUAAACUGUUGAGUCUGGGAUUGGGAUGGGAUGUGGUCACAUCUAGAUUCCUUGGAAUUUGGAUGGCAAAAGGGACUACUCCAUUCUGAACCACAUGACUCAAUGUAAGGGGUCUUCCUGACACUUUCAAUCUGAACCUGUCCUCUACUCAGUAAAUAAUUAAGUGACCUUGCCAUCACAAAUCUUGUUAAUGCUGCUUUUACCAUAAGAACUUUCUAAAAUAUCUGUCUUAUUCAUGAUUAAUCUUUGCUAAAUCACUAUUUUCUUCAAUAAAUAUAUUGCUGCUUCCCUUUUACAAGUGAAGUGCAUAAUUACUUUUGUGACACUUAUGAAUUCUUCUUUUCCUACAGAUCAGUCCUGGUUUAUUACAAAUGGUUGAUGUGUCUGCACCAUAUUAUUAACUCUAUUUUCUAUUAUAUCUACGUUAAACAUAUGUCUAACCUUGUAUGAAGAUAUCCUGUUGUAUUCUAGCCGUCUACCAUGUACAAGUUUGAAAAAGUGCUUGAAAAUUUUUGGAAAGGCAGUCUCCAAGUAACCUCAAGGACUGCCUCUCGUCUCGAGUCCAGUUGAGAAUAUGUGGUGCAUCAAGUCUAAUACAACAACUUUUAUAGCUAGUGACAACUAGGUAAAAGCAUGCACAGGUUUAACAGUAUCCAACCACCCUGAUUCUCCAGCUGAAAUAAUCAGACAUUUGCAGCUUUGUUGACUGGGAAAAAUCUUUGGCAUAAAGAUAUAACAAGACUUUAAUUCCUAUUUCUGAAGACAUUGUAAACAGAAAGGAAGAUCUGGGAACUACAGACCAGUGAGCAUCACCUCUGUGCCUGGAAAGGUCAUGGAACAUAUCCUCCUGGAAACAAAGUUAAGUCACAUGCAAGACAGGGACAUGAUAUGAGACAGCCAGCACGGCUUCACCAAGGGGAAAUCAUGUGUGACCAGCCUGGUGCCCUUCUAUGAUGGAGUGACUGCAUCAGUUGUCAAGGGAAGACUGUCCAAUGUUAUCUAUCUGGACUUCUGCAAGGCCUUUGACGUGGUCCCACACAACAUCCUUAUCUCUAAAUUAGACAUGGAUUUAAAGGGUGGACCAUCUAGUGGAUAAGGA